CUUUAAUGCCAUUCAUGGAAGGAGGAGAACGGAGGUGGAGGUGGGAAAGGCUUUAUUGAGGUACCGGUACCCCCGCAUGCGGUGGUGCGGGCGCGGGAUGCGGGGCAGGCGGUACUCGAUGUGCUGCCCCAGCUGCUGCUCCAUGCGCAGGGAGAAGCCAGUGCAGACAAAGAGCACCUCGAAGCCGCUGUAGAUGAAGCUGGGGAAGAGGUGACGCAGGCGAUAGUCCCUCAUGUGCUUGAAGGGCAGCUGGAAGAUGUUCCCCCAACCGAUGCUGCGCAGGUCGAUCUCCUCCGUGGGUCGAUAGGCUGCACCACAGAGCACCAGGACCUGUGUAUGGGGGGUCAUGGAGCACAUCAGCCCCACUGGGAUGGUUUGGGGUGCAAAGGAGCUCAGCAUCAUCUGGCACCAGGACCUGUGUAUGGGGGGUCAUGGAGCACAUCAGC